AAUUAGAAUAAAUAAUUAUUUAAUUUGAAAUCAAUGUCUCAAAAUUCAUUGAAGAGAUUGGUUGGAAAUUUAGGAGUGUUUUUUUGUUGUUUCUUUGUUUCUUUUUCUUCUCAGAAAUCAUCUUGGUCUUAAGGUUGAAAAUAUUUUUGCAAUCUAUUUUUGUUUUGGCUAUAUGUACGGUAUAUUUUGUUUUUUAAAGUUUUUGUUUUUUAUUUUUAUACUAUGAAACAUCUCAAUCUUUCAUUAUAGCAUCUGGAUAUAUUUUCUUUUAUUUCUUCUAAAAAUAUUUGUUGUUUAAUUAUUUUACAUUUACUUGCUUUCUUGUACCGACUCCAAUCAGAUUUUUAUCUCCAUCAACAAGCAGAAGCAUUCAACAGAGUUGAUCACUCCCUCAUUUUUGAAACAACUUCUUUACUUGACUUCUAGGCUAUCACCUUGCUUCUAUAGCCCUCCAACUGGGCUCCCACUUUUCCACUCCUCUCUCUGAAAUCGGUCCUCAAUAAAGCACCCAGAAUUAUUUCUGUAAAGCA
rnacentral:lncRNA from 1 species